GACGAACGCUGGCGGCGUGCUUAACACAUGCAAGUCGAACGGAAAGGCCUUUUCGGCGGUACUCGAGUGGCGAACGGGUGAGUAACACGUGGGUGAUCUGCCCUGCACUCUGGGAUAAGCCUGGGAAACUGGGUCUAAUACCGGAUAGGACCGCACUUUAGUGUGUGUGGUGGAAAGUUUUUUCGGUGUAGGAUGAGCCCGCGGCCUAUCAGCUUGUUGGUGGGGUAAUGGCCUACCAAGGCGGCGACGGGUAGCCGGACUGAGAGGUUGGUCGGCCACAUUGGGACUGAGAUACGGCCCAGACUCCUACGGGAGGCAGCAGUGGGGAAUAUUGCACAGUGGGCGCAAGCCUGAUGCAGCGACGCCGCGUGGGGGAUGACGGCCUUCGGGUUGUAAACUCCUUUCGCCAGGGACGAAGCGUUUUGUGACGGUACCUGGAGAAGAAGCACCGGCUAACUACGUG
rnacentral:rRNA from 1 species